rnacentral:tRNA from 1 species
UCCCUGGUGGUUCAGUGGUUAGGAUGCUGCGCUUCCACUGCCGGGGCCCCGGGUUUGAUUCCUGGUCAAGGAA